CAGAAAACAAAGAGUUGUGGGCUUAAGAGCUAUUUAUAAAAUUACCACAAACCAAACAGGACAGAUGCCAGAAUUGGCUGGCAUGUGUCUUGUCAUUCAUAGAGUACCUGGAAACCUUCACCACUCAAGUCCAAGUUCAGGAUAUUUCUUUUCAAACAUGAAUUCAACUCAGGACUUCUCUAAAUGAGGCAUUUUUAAAUGUCCAACAUUUUUCUUGUUUUUAAGACAUCUAAUUCUAUAGAUUCUUAACUUUUUCAAACUUCUUCUGGGAAUGUUGCUUUUUGAAUGUUGGAGCACUUGUAAAAGUAAAGAAGUGAG